ACUCAAAUGAAUUGACGGGGAGGCACACAACCAGUGGAACAUGUGGUUUAAUUCGAGACGAACCGAAGAACCUCACCAGGACUUGACAUACUAGCGUUCUAUUUCCUGGAAACAGGAGAAAUCCGCAAGGAGGCUAGCACAGGUGCUGCAUGGCUGUCGUCAGCUCGUUCCGUGAGGAGUGCCCUUAAGUGGGACAACGAGCGCAACCCCCAUCUUGUGUUAUAUAUGUCACAAGAGACUGCCCUUGCUUUGCAGGGGAGGAAGGAGGGGCAGACGUCAAGUCAGCAUGGUCCUUAUGUCCUGGGCUACACACAUGUUACAAUGGGUAGUCACAACGAGUUUCGCGAGACCGCAAGGUCAAGCAAAUCUCUGAAAACUACUCUCAGUUGGGAUUAGGGUCUGCAACUCGACCCUAUGAACUCGGAAUUGGUAGUAAUCGCGGGUCAGCUACACCGCGGUGAAUACGUUCUUGCCUCUUGCACACACCGCCCGU
rnacentral:rRNA from 1 species